rnacentral:piRNA from 1 species
UGCAUUGCAUUUUUGNGUGUGUUCAGGG